rnacentral:rRNA from 1 species
AUUGAACGCUGGCGGCAGGCUUAACACAUGCAAGUCGAGCGGUAGCACAGGGGAGCUUGCUCCCUGGGUGACGAGCGGCGGACGGGUGAGUAAUGUCUGGGAAACUGCCUGAUGGAGGGGGAUAACUACUGGAAACGGUAGCUAAUACCGCAUAACGUCGCAAGACCAAAGAGGGGGACCUUCGGGCCUCUUGCCAUCAGAUGUGCCCAGAUGGUAUUAGCUAGUAGGUGGGGUAAUGGCUCACCUAGGCGACGAUCCCUAGCUGGUCUGAGAGGAUGACAAGCCACAAUGGAACUGAGACACGGUCAAGACUCCUACGGGAGGCAGCAGUGGGGAAUAGUGCACAAUGGGCGGAAGCCUGAUGCAGCCAGGCCGAGUGUGUGAAGAAGGCCUUCGGGUUGUAAAGCACUUUCAGCGAGGAGGAAGGUGGUGAGCUUAAGACGUUCAUCAAGUGACGUUACUCGCAGAAGAAGCACCGGCUAACUACGUG